AGCACCUGGUAACAGCGGCACUUCAUCCAGGAAGAAAACAGGAUCUAAAAUAUAAACAACAUCCUUACAACACAAAAUAUGAGCGUCUAUCAUGGACCAACCAAUAACUGCAAUAAAAGUGUGAUAAAUGCUGUAUCCCCUGGCAGAUGAUGAGUAUCUUCAAAAUGGUGCCCAAAGGAGAGAGAGAAUAAACUUGAACAUUCUGACUUUAAAGAACAUGACCAGGCUAGCCCAGGAGAAAGAUGGAGCACAUAUGGAGCAGAGCUGCCCCAGCCAAACUGCUCUUGAGACCCCAGCUUAGAGCAUCCAACUCCCAGCUAACACCCAGAAGCAUGAGUGACUCCAUUUAAGCUCAAUAAAACCAUCUAGCCGAGUCCAGUGAGAUAAGCCAGCCCUUGGUUGAUCACAGAUGCAUGAGCUAAAUAAAUGCUUAUUGUUGUAUGCCA
rnacentral:lncRNA from 1 species